CAAGGACUGUCUUAUAGAGCUAACAAACCUUUCCUCAGACACGCUCCUUGUUUGAGCCUUGUGUAAUGGGAAUGCUAAAAUGGGAAUACGUGACACCUGCUCUGCACAGGUGUAAGAGGUAAUAAAAGCAAUGAAAUCAAACCCCCCCCCCCCCCCCUUUGUCCAUGCUUUUUCUCAGGACUCAGCACACGGUAAAUUAUCACUGAAUUAUCCCUGACGCUGAACGUAAGUGGAAUUCAAUCAAGUUCCAACUUUAAACAUCAGGCCUGAGGAGACUUCUUAAAUCAGAAGGAAUUUGGUGCCCAUAUUUUAACCCGUCAUAGCCUGGAGGCCAGCACCAACAUCUCCCUUCGCAGGACGUUUCUAGGGACUAGAUUCCUGUCUGCUCUGCGUACCCCUUGCCCUGCCUGUUUGCUUCUGAAGAUCACUGGGGGUAUGAAACCAGCUGUUGCCUGCAAUUUCAAGUGGUUUUAGCCUACUGUUUGCAUGUCACACAUGUUGCUCAGGAUGGACAGUAUCCUCCACCCAGUAAAGAUACUAUUGUCUUCUAAAUUGUUGAAAUCUAAACUUGGAAAUCAUCCGCCCUGGCACCUAAUAUCCUUGGGCCCUUUCUUGCUGCUUCCCAGCUGCUUCAGUGUUUCUCUGCCAAAAGCUUUGGGUGAGCUCUGUUGCCCCUGUAGCUGGUGAUCUGAGGUUGGCUUUUUUUCAUUUAUGCUACAGAAGUGCCAUUUGAUUUCAACCUGCUGAAUAUUUUAGCGUACCUUGUAUUUUCUCAUUUUGAAACCAGUGAGUCCCUAAACGUUUACUUCGAAACUGCCGAUCAGGACUUUAGAUGAGGCUGUGAGCUAAUCCUAAACACUGUCAUGUUCAAGAUCAUUGGUUUUUACCUACAAAUAAAUGGCUGAAGUGGGGUGUUAGAAGGGGUCA
rnacentral:lncRNA from 1 species